rnacentral:rRNA from 1 species
GACGAACGCUGGCGGCGUGCUUAACACAUGCAAGUCGAACGGUGACGAAGAGCUUGCUCUUCUGAUCAGUGGCGAACGGGUGAGUAACACGUGAGCAACCUACCCUUGACACUGGGAUAACAGUUGGAAACAGCUGCUAAUACCGGAUAUGAACCUCACAGGCAUCUGAGAGGUUGGAAAGCUCCGACGGUCAAGGAUGGGCUCGCGGCCUAUCAGCUUGUUGGUGAGGUAACGGCUCACCAAGGCGACGACGGGUAGCCGGCCUGAGAGGGCGACCGGCCACACUGGGACUGAGAUACGGCCCAGACUCCUACGGGAGGCAGCAGUGGGGAAUAUUGCGCAAUGGGCGAAAGCCUGACGCAGCAACGCCGCGUGCGGGAUGACGGCCUCGGUUGUAAACCGGCUUCUAGCAGGGACGAAACUAGACGGUACCUGCAGAAGAAGCACCGGCUAACUACGUAGCCAGCAGCCGCGGUAAGU